UCGGUGUGUACAAGACCCGGGAACGCAUUCACCCCGACAUUCUGAUUCGGGAUUACUAGCAACUCCGACUUCAUGUGGGCGGGUUGCAGCCCACAAUCCGAACUGAGACUAUCUUUUUGAGAUUCGCUUACCGUUACCGGCUCGCAGCUCUUUGUAAUAGCCAUUGUAGCACGUGUGUAGCCCAAGACGUAAGGGGCAUGAUGAUUUGACGUCAUCCCCACCUUCCUCCGAGUUAUCCCCGGCAGUCUGACUAGAGUUCCUAACUUAAUAUUGGCAACUAAUCAUAAGGGUUGCGCUCGUUGCGGGACUUAACCCAACAUCUCACGACACGAGCUGACGACAACCAUGCACCACCUGUAUCCGCGUCCCCGAAGGGAACUACUUAUCUCUAAAUAUGGCACGGUAUGUCAAGUCUUGGUAAGGUUCUUCGCGUUA
rnacentral:misc_RNA from 1 species